rnacentral:rRNA from 1 species
CGGCAACAGCUCAAAUUUGAAAGCUGGCCCUUUUAGGGUCCGCAUUGUAAUUUGUAGAGGAUGAUUCGGCGAGGGCUCCUGCCUAAGUCCCCUGGAACGGGGCGUCAUAGAGGGUGAGAAUCCCGUACGUGCCCGGUGGCCGCCCCCGUGUGAAGCUCCUUCGAC